GUCCCCAAUUCCGAACAAACAUCUCCUUCCCCGUUACCAUCCGAACUAGAGAAUUUCAAGCUGCCAUUGCAACACAAGGUAAAAAUUUGCUCUAUUGUAAGUGCUCUUCUGCUAUUGCAUUUAUAAAUAAAUUUGUUCGUAGGAAGAAUCGAAUUAGGUUUUCUUAUAGACUGCGUUUUUAUUUCUGAUUAAUUUCUAUGUAAUCAAACACCUUCUGCAAAUAAGAACCCCCCCUGCGCUGCUGUGUGGUGGUGUUUGCUGAUGUUAUUGGGGAUGAUGUUAGGGUUUAUGAUUGUCAAUUGACAAUUAACAGGAGGAUAUCUUCAUACGAACAUCCGUUCUGAAUCUUUUCAAUUCAUCAAUGGCGUUUUGGCGUCUGGUCUCCACCAAAAACAACCCUAACCCUAACUCCACCCUAUGUUUCAUCCGUACAUUCUCCACAUCAUUCCUCAUCACCAAAACCCCCAAAUCACAAACAAAAAAGCGAAAAAAGAAAGAAUCCGCACGAACAAAGCAAGUGCAACACGAAUCAGAACGAAUCCAACACUUCGAGAACAUCCUCCACUGCGACAACCGCUUCCGAUUCUUUCUCAAAACCAAGGACUUCCUCUCCAAACAACCGCAACAGGUCCUCCGUCUUGAUGACGCCGGAAAACUGUACCGUGAGCUCGGGUUUCCUCGCGGACGCAAAGUUUUGAAAUACAUACAGCGGCACCCGCUCGUGUUUCAGACUUACCGCCACUCGAACGAUAAGAUAUGGUUCGGGUUUACCGAUUUUAUGGAGAGGUUUUUGGAAGAGGAGGAGAGGAUUAUGGAUGAGAUGGAGAAAGAGAGGAUAGAUGUUGUUAGGAAGUUGUUGAUGAUGUCUGCGAAUAAACGGAUUCCGUUGAGUAAGAUUUAUCAUUGCAGGUCAUUGUUUGGGAUUCCUGAAGAUUUUAGGGACCGUGUGAGGAAUUAUCCGGAGUUUUUCAACACGGUUGUGGAGGAGGAUGGGAAGAGAAUUCUCGAACUCGUGAAAUGGGAUCAGAAGCUUGCGGUGAGUGCGUUGGAGCGGGAGUUUAUGGUUGACGAGGAUCGAGCGAAGAAAGCGUUCCAGUUUAAGGUAAAACACGGAAAGUUUUUGGAUUUGGGUGAACAAGACGAGAGGAAGUUGAAUUUGUUGAACACGCUUCCGCUUGUUUCGCCUUAUUCGGAUGGAUCGCGUUUGGAUCUUUGGACGUUGGAGGCCGAGAAGUAUAGGGUGGGUGUGAUUCAUGAGUUCUUGAGCUUGACGUUGGAGAAACGAGCUUCGAUUCACCAUAUAGUGGAGUUCAAAGAGGAGUUGAGUCUCACGAAACAUACUUAUGCGAUGUUGUUGAAGCAGCAGAGGAGUUUUUAUUUGGCGGGGACGGAGAUGAACUGGGUUGUGUUUUUGAAGGAUGCUUAUGGGGAAGAUGGGGUCUUGAUUCAUAAAGAUCCCCUGGUUGUUUUUAACGAGAAGUUGUGUGAAUUUGCAGACAAGCAAAAACUGGAAAUCGAAUAACUUCUGAUGGGCUGUUGUUAACAGGUUAUAUCUCGAGUUUGGUUGACCCUUUGCUUGGCAAAACGGGUGGGUGGGGUUGGGUGUUGGGUCAGAACAGGUCCGGCUCACACCGGGUUCGGGUUCAACAGUAAAGCGACAAACAGUGGCCGUGGUGUUGCUUGCCCAUUUGGACCCUUUUAAGUUAUCAAAUGUUUUAAGAGUUAUUCUUAAGCGACGUUGCCAGCCAACCGCAAUACUAGCCUUGUUUAAUGAUUAUUCUAUUGUGAAUAUUGUAUUAUAUGUAUAGCAUUGUAUGAAAUAUUAAAAAAUUAUAUGUAUAUAUUUUUUUUUAAUUUAGUUCUUACGGUCCUGUCUGGUUUUAUACAGCCGGUUUUUAGUAUAAACUGUAAACCAAUCCGUUCUGCACAUUUUGAAAAUUUGAAACCGACCGACUGAAAACAUUUGUAAAAGCCGACCGCGAAACCAAACAUAUGACCGGUUUGGACAGUUUCAGGGUUUAAAACAGAACCGUGAACAUCCCUACUUGUUGAAAUGUUGAACGUCGGAGGUGUUUGAGGACCUACUAGAGAGUAUAGAUCUUUAUUCCUGGGAGUGUUACAUAUGACACGAGCUUGCAUGUGUGCUACACUCAAGCCGAUUGCUAGAGUCAAUUUGGAAGGCUAGUUGAUCGUGUUUACUCGUCUAGGUGGACGGCUGGACGCUGCUUCUGAUAGACUAGUGCGUCAGAGCUAUAAGUCUGAUUUGGUUGGUAGAGUCCACGAAACAAUCGUUUGUAAUUUUUGUCACAAUAAACUGGAACCAAAAGACUGCCAGAGAGUAAUAAACCAUAGAGUGGUCGCGUUCAUUGCUUGGGUUAACACGGGGAAAUAUCAACUUGUUUGGUAGAGUCGUAAGUCUGGCGUUGCUAAUGGAGUCGGAUAGUCCACCACGGAACUGGUCCAGAUGAUGAUGGUUGUUGCAUGUUGUGAGCAAUAUUACGAUGAGCGUCCCAUUUUGACCUGUUUAAUUUAAGUCGACCCAUAUGUAACCAAAUGUAUAUUUCUUUUUACCCAGAUCAACUCAUCUAAUUAAGUAGCGGGUCAUGAUUGUGGGACUUUAAGCUGACCCAAACACCAAGAAUUUUGGGUUCAUUUUUGAAGUUUAAUAAACUGUAAUGCAUGAA